UCCGUAUGUUGCCAGCAUUAAGUUGGGGACGUCAUACGAGACUGCCGGCGGUCCAAGCCCGGAGGGAAGGUGGGGACGACGUCAAGUCAUCGAUGCCCCUUAUGUCCUGGGCUGCACACGUGCUACAAUGGCCGGUACAAUGGGCUGCGAUGCCGCGAGGCGGAGCGAAUCCCAUAAAACCGGCCCCAGUUCGGAUCGGAGGCUGCAACUCGCCUCCGUGAAGUCGGAGUUGCUAGUAAUCGCGGAUCAGCAUGCCGCGGUGAAUACGUUCCCGGGCCUU
rnacentral:rRNA from 1 species